rnacentral:rRNA from 1 species
GAAAGAAUAUCGGAGACGGAUGGGCAUGCGGCGCAUUAGCUAGUUGGCGGGGUAACGGCCCACCAAGGCGACGAUGCGUAGGGGUUCUGAGAGGAAGGUCCCCCACACUGGUACUGAGACACGGACCAGACUCCUACGGGAGGCAGCAGUGAGGAAUAUUGGUCAAUGGGCGAGAGCCUGAACCAGCCAAGUCGCGUGAGGGAGUACUGCCCUAUGGGUUGUAAACCUCUUUUGUCGGGGAGCAAAAGCCGGACGUGUCCGGCUGUGAGAGUACCCGAAGAAAAAGCAUCGGCUAACUCCGUGCCAGCAGCCGCGGUAAUACGGAGGAUGCGAGCGUUAUCCGGAUUUAUUGGGUUUAAAGGGUGCGCAGGCGGAUUUUUAAGUCAGCGGUCAAAUCGUGGGGCUCAACCCCAUCCAGCCGUUGAAACUGGGGAUCUAGAGUGUGCGAGAGGUAUGCGGAAUGCGUGGUGUAGCGGUGAAAUGCAUAGAUAUCACGCAGAACCCCGAUUGCGAAGGCAGCAUACCGGUGCACAACUGACGCUCAGGCACGAAAGCGUGGGUAUCGAACAGGAUUAGAUACCCUGGUAGUCCACGCAGUAAACGAUGAAUACUACCUGUUUGGCCAGAUUGAAGGCUGA